rnacentral:tRNA from 1 species
GAGGGUACAGCUCAGUGGUAGAGCACAUGCUUAGCAUGCACGAGGUCCUGGGUUCAAUCCCCAGUGCCUCCA